rnacentral:lncRNA from 13 species
CCUGUAGUCCUAGUGACUCUGGAGGCUGAGGCAGAAGAAUUACUUGAACUCAAGAAGCAGAGGUUGCAGUGAGCCAAGAUCACGCCACUGCACUCAAGCCUGGCAACAGAGUGAAAAGUCCAGAACACCAGGGACUUCUACUGUGAAGUAAAUGUACGACAAAGAAAACAAUUAUCAGCUUGUGGAAGUCACCAAAAGGCAUCAGCAGUAGGCCCUAGUUACUGCAACGACUCUCUACUUUCAUUAGUUCGGCUUUAAGAUCCCACAUGUAAAUUAGUGGGGCGUGGUAGCCUGUAGUCCCAGCUACUCAGGAGGCUGAGGAAGGGGAGUCACCUGAACCUGGGAGGCCGAGGUUACAGUGAUGUACUCCAGCCUGGUGAGAGAGCAAGACUAUGUCUCAAAAACACAAAAGUUUUCGCAAUCAAUGAAAGGGACACUUUAUUGAAGCUCCAGGGCCAUGGGUCCUGGGCAUGAGGCUGCCUUUAAAGGCAAGAAGAGCCAUAUUUGACCUUGUUUGGACACAGGUUGUUGAUGUGGCUACACUUCUUCUUGCCGCAGUUGACAGCAUGGGGAUACAGGGCAAUUCCCAGAAGACCUUGGAUUUGGAAUGA